ACCAGAAAUUUAAAGGCUCAGGUCGCUCAGGCGUGUACUCAUCCUAAAUCAUCAGCCAAAAAGGAGAGAAGAUUACAUGGUAUAUGUCGCCUGUCCCAGGAUUCAAAUGGUGUCUUUAUUUACAGCUUCAUGCAUGGAUACUAGGUAUUUUGCAGUUUUGAUGGGCGUGUGUUCGAAACUUAUUUAGUUAUCAUUUGGAGCAUCUUAAAAAAUUAUUAUUUUGUCAGUAUCUACUUUUAUAAUGUGCUUCAGCUUGAAAAA
rnacentral:misc_RNA from 1 species